GCAUUUAGAGAGAAGGGUGGGCCAAUGCUCCACUCCACAGUUUAGUGGUUUUCUGGGGAGACAUAGAUCCAGGCCAGGGUUUUUUGGACCGUCUCCAACCCACUGCUCAGCUGCAGUUAAUGAGCUGUUGCAGUGGGAAUAAACCCCUCCCUGCUAGGCAGGUAAAAGGGGGGGAAUUGCUGGCUUCCUCCCAGGAAGCAGGUAGGAGAGAGGCUGUUCUCUCCAGAUAGAGAGUCAAGGAGACUAGGCACUGGGAGUGCAGAAAGGAAGCAGUCAAGGCUGGCUUGGAGCACUGGGAGUGCAGGAGGAAGCAGUCAAGGCUGGCUUGGAGCACUGGGAGUGCAGAAAGGAAAGCAGUCAGGGCAAGGCUGGCUUGGAG